CUUAACUAAAGAAAGACUUUAUAUGAUUGAUUGCAAAUUAUUUUCUUACCAUUUCCUACUUGUCCUUUGCACAAUAAAAGGGGAACGACCCUUCUGCACUUAGAACAACUGGGAACUUUCAAUUCAAUACACAUAUUCAUAUACACACUCUCAAUCACAAUACUCUUCAAUUCUCUACUUUCAUCUAAGAUCUCUUAUACUGCUCGCUUGCAAUUUGGGUCUACAAGACUUCUGCUUUACUUGUUUGUUUCCCCUGCAACUGGUAUGUUCUGAUUUAGCUUCAACCAUCAUCCAAAUAUGUUUAUUUACAACUUCUGCAAUCUUGUUUGCUUUACCAUUCAUGCUCAGUGAUUAACGUGUAUGUUAUUCUCUUUGUACCUAUUUCUAUGAUGAAUUCCUACAUCCUUAUUCCCCUCUAUAUGUUUGAAUUAGGGUUCGAGGCCUGGCAGUAUCCAAAUUACUGCUCAGGUCUGAACCUAACCCUCAAUGUGUCCUAGCUCCCAAACUGAGCUAACAGGCGAGUCAAGGGUGUGCCGGCAUGCCUGAUUGUUGGGCAUGACUAAUAGCCUGUCAUGGCCUUCCCUAACUCCCUCUAUCUACUUACACUUAUUAUAAGACUCUAAUUCCCCCCCCCCCC
rnacentral:lncRNA from 1 species